rnacentral:rRNA from 1 species
CCUACGGGAGGCAGCAGUGGGGAAUAUUGCGCAAUGGGCGAAAGCCUGACGCAGCGACGCCGCGUGGGUGAUGGAGGAUUUCGGUAUGUAAAGCCCUAUCAGCAGGGAAGAACAAUGACGGUGCCUGACUGAGAAGCACCGACUAAAUACGUGACAGCAGCCGCGGUAAUACGUAGGGUGAAAGCGUUAACCGGAUUUACUGGGUGUAAAGGGAGCGCAGGCGGCGCGUUAAGCCUGGUGUGAAAGUCCGCGGCUCAACCGCGGGACUGCAUUGGGAACUGGCGAGCUGGAGUGUCGGAGGGGUUGGCGGAAUUCCUGGUGUAGCAGUGAAAUGCGUAGAUAUUAGGAGGAACACCAGUGGCGAAGGCGGCUAACUGGCAGGUGACUGACGCUGAGGAUCGAAAGCGUGGGGAGCAAACAGGAUUAGAUACCCUUGUAGUC